GCCCGGGUAGCUCAGCGGCAGAGCAGCGCACUCGUAAUGCGCAGGUCGUGGGUUCAAUUCCCACCUCGGGCUCCA
rnacentral:tRNA from 1 species